rnacentral:rRNA from 1 species
GACGAACGCUGGCGGCGUGCCUAAUACAUGCAAGUAGAACGCACAGUUUAUACCGUAGCUUGCUACACCAUAAACUGUGAGUUGCGAACGGGUGAGUAACGCGUAGGUAACCUGCCUGGUAGCGGGGGAUAACUAUUGGAAACGAUAGCUAAUACCGCAUAAUAUUGAUUAUUGCAUGAUAAUUGAUUGAAAGAUGCUAUUGCAUCACUACCAGAUGGACCUGCGUUGUAUUAGCUAGUAGGUGAGGUAACGGCUCACCUAGGCGACGAUACAUAGCCGACCGGAGAGGGUGGUCGGCCACACUGGGACUGAGACACGGCCCAGACUCCUACGGGAGGCAGCAGGAGGGAAUCUUCGGCAAUGGACGAAAGUCUGACCGAGCAACGCCGCGUGAGUGAAGAAGGGUUUCGGAUCGUAAAGCUCUGUUGUAAGAGAAGAACGGGUGUGAGAGUGGAAAGUUCACACUGUGACGGUAUCUUACCAGAAAGGGACGGCUAACUACGUG